CAGCAGCCGCGGUAAUACAGAGGGUGCAAGCGUUAAUCGGAAUUACUGGGCGUAAAGCGCACGCAGGCGGUCUGUCAAGUCAGAUGUGAAAUCCCCGGGCUUAACCUGGGAACUGCAUUUGAAACUGGCAGGCUAGAGUCUUGUAGAGGGGGGUAGAAUUCCAGGUGUAGCGGUGAAAUGCGUAGAGAUCUGGAGGAAUACCGGCGGCGAAGGCGGCCCCCUGGACAAAGACUGACGCUCAGGUGCGAAAGCGUGGGGAGCAAACAGGAUUAGAUACCCGAGUAGUCCUGUCUCUUAUACA
rnacentral:rRNA from 1 species